AUGAUUGUUGGCCUCAUAUAUGUCUUCUUUCGUAAAAUGUCUGUUCAUAUCCUUUGCCCACUUUUGAAUGGGCUUGUUUGUUUUUUUCCUGUAAAUCUGCUUGAGUUGUUUGUAAAUUCUGGAUAUCAGCCCUUUGUCAGAUGGGUAGACUGCGAAAAUUUUUUCCCAUUCUGUUGGUUGCCGAUCCACUCUAGUGACUGUUUCUUUGCCGUGCAGAAGCUGUGGAAGUAAGAGAGAAUUUGUUUAUCAUAUUAACAAAGAAGAAAAACUUCUAAAGAAAUAUAUUAGAGACAAAAAGUCAUUUUUUUCAUUAUUCCUAAAAUAUCAAAGAGCUGCCCCCGAGGGCUGGGUAGGUUGGGCAUUGCACAACAUCAACAGAAACCACUGACAAAGAUUCACAUGCAGAAGUCAACCCAUAGGAUUGUGGAACAUGGUGCCCAGAUAUUUGCUCAAAUGGAAAAUUGUUGUGUGUGAUUCUUUACAAAUCUUUUUUCUUAUAUAAGGACUUCAACAUUUUAACAUAAAUCAAAAAUUAUUUUUUCCUCUCAAAUGAUAAAAAAAAUUAUUUGUAUUCUCCAUGGUACCUAGUUCUUGGUCAUCUAUAAAUAUUAUCUGAGAGAAAAAAUGAAUGAGGAAAAAACUAUCAUAUUUUCAUUUUCCUCUCUUUACCCCUUUUUUCCCUACUGCUGAAACCAUUUUCUAAUAUAACAGUUGAAUAUACAAUGAAGUGGGAGAAAAAGCAAAAUCAGAAGGCAUUUUGGCAAAGUACAAUGUAGUAUGAGGGCUUUUUGUUUUGAAUUUGAACUAUCCUUCUUAAGUUCAGGUUGAUUUGGGGGUAGAGGUGCGGAAGAGUCCUUAGCAAACUGGAACAAAUUGAUUUGUUCAGUUUUGAUUAUUUGCUUAUUAAUGAUAAGUUAUAUAAGUCCCAAAGAAUUCCUAAGCCAACUAGAAAAGCUAUUUUAGUCUUCAUAAAAAACCCAUAACUUCCUAUCACCUUGUGCUUAAACAAGAAGCCCUAUAAUGUUUUCUUCCUCCUAGCAGCUCACUACCAUCUAAUUUCCCAAUAAAUGUAACAUCAUUUUCCAAUUCGUUAUCAAAAUAAGAUUUUAAAUAUACAUGCUUGAGAAGAGCAUCAUCUAUUUAUACUCGUAUUUAUAAUAUCUGAUAUCGAUCAUUUCUUAACAGUCUUCCAUGAAAGACAAAAGAGAAGGUAAGGAAAUAGAUGCCUGUUACAAGGGAAUUGAUAAAGAGAAAAGAAGAAGGUUCAGAAAAAAAUGAGUCUUGAACUUAAAAAUAGCCACUCUUUGCCCACUUUCAGUCCUGUAUCUCUGAAAGAGCUCAAACCUGAAAUAAGGCCAUACACACCCUGGGAAAAAACUAAUAAACAAGUUUAAUUAGAAAUGAACCAUUGGUACUUUGGUAUUCUACUUCUGCCAAGUGUUUGGGUGGUUUCCCAUAGUACACAGCUGUAUCAUUGCUAUGAAAUUUCUAAGUAUAGAAGGAACCCACCAUUAUCCAUCUCACAAUAAUACACUCCUUUAC
rnacentral:lncRNA from 1 species